rnacentral:lncRNA from 1 species
AUUUGAUUAUAAUUUAUUGACGAACCUGAGUUUGAUUGAGCAUAUUGCAUAGGUUUUGAAUAGAAAUCCUCCUCUUGCUGCCAAUAUCCCUCUUGUUGGAAUUGUUGAGGUUCCCCCCACAUAUAAUUUGAAUGAUCUUCUCCAAGCCGAAUUGUAAGCGUUGGAAAACAUGUUGUUGCUUGGUUGAUUAUAGCCUUGAUAACCCCAAGCAUCUUCAUUGGCAGAAAAUUGAGGACUUUGAUAUCCUUGCCCAUAGGGCACA